UACUUUGGUGGAAACUUGGGAUGGUGGAAGUACUUUGGAGGAAGCUUAGGAAGAGGAGUAAUGGGUGGGAAAGGUUUCUUAUAUAUUGGAACCAGUGGUGGAAGUGGCUUUGUGUAUACCGGAACUAGAGGUGGGAAUGGCUUCUUGUAAAUAGGAAUUGGUGGAUGCGUAUAAACUGGUAGAGGUGGGAAUGGUUUCUUGUAAAUAGGAAUCGGUGGAUGUGUAUAAACUGGUAGAGGUGGGAGUGGCUUCUUGUAAAUAGGAAUUGGUGGAUGUGUAUAAACCGGUAGAGGUGGGAGUGGCUUCUUGUAAAUAGGAAUUGGUGGAUGCGUAUAAACCGGUGGUUUUGGCUUUGGUUUGUAAACUGGAAUUGGUGGAUGCGUAUAAACCGGUGGCUUUGGCUUUG
rnacentral:lncRNA from 1 species